GGAUGAACGCUGGCGGCGUGCCUAAUACAUGCAAGUCGAGCGAACAGACGAGGAGCUUGCUCCUCUGACGUUAGCGGCGGCCGGGUGAGUAACACGUGGAUAACCUACCUAUAAGACUGGGAUAACUUCGGGAAACCGGAGCUAAUACCGGAUAAUAUAUUGAACCGCAUGGUUCAAUAGUGAAAGACGGUUUUGCUGUCACUUAUAGAUGGAUCCGCGCCGCAUUAGCUAGUUGGUAAGGUAACGGCUUACCAAGGCGACGAUGCGUAGCCGACCUGAGAGGGUGAUCGGCCACACUGGAACUGAGACACGGUCCAGACUCCUACGGGAGGCAGCAGUAGGGAAUCUUCCGCAAUGGGCGAAAGCCUGACGGAGCAACGCCGCGUGAGUGAUGAAGGUCUUCGGAUCGUAAAACUCUGUUAUUAGGGAAGAACAAAUGUGUAAGUAACUAUGCACGUCUUGACGGUACCUAAUCAGAAAGCCACGGCUAACUACGUG
rnacentral:rRNA from 1 species